rnacentral:rRNA from 1 species
GACGAACGCUGGCGGCGUGCUUAACACAUGCAAGUCGAACGAAGAGCGAUGGAAGCUUGCUUCUAUAAUCUUAGUGGCGAACGGGUGAGUAACGCGUAAUCAACCUGCCCUUCAGAGGGGGACAACAGUUGGAAACGACUGCUAAUACCGCAUACGAUCUAAUCUCGGCAUCGAGGAUAGAUGAAAGGUGGCCUCUACAUGUAAGCUAUCACUGAAGGAGGGGAUUGCGUCUGAUUAGCUAGUUGGAGGGGUAACGGCCCACCAAGGCGAUGAUCAGUAGCCGGUCUGAGAGGAUGAACGGCCACAUUGGGACUGAGACACGGCCCAGACUCCUACGGGAGGCAGCAGUGGGGAAUAUUCCGCAAUGGACGAAAGUCUGACGGAGCAACGCCGCGUGAGUGAUGACGGCCUUCGGGUUGUAAAGCUCUGUUAAUCGGGACGAAAGGCCUUCUUGCGAAUAGUGAGAAGGAUUGACGGUACCGGAAUAGAAAGCCACGGCUAACUACGUG